GGCACGAUCUCCAUGUACUGGCUUCUCUCAGGAUCUUCCGAGCUGGCUGAGCUGGCUCUCCUGAUGAUUUAAAGGGACCACGCUCUUCCCUUCCCAGCACCCCCAUAUCAAGGGUUGGUCCUCCUCCAGCAGCUAUGUAUCUGAGAGGCUCCUGAUGCAAUGGCUCAGCAUCACAGUUGAAGGACACACACUCCUGCCUUAGAGCAAUGGGGAGACCGGUUCCCACAGGAACCGGUUCAGCAAAGGCAGCAAGAUGCCAGCCAUCAGAGAUAAAGGCUGCUGCCACCUAUUGAACCUCACAGUGCACAGUAAGGACAGUCUCCAGGACUUCUCCCCCAGGGAGCUGAGCUUUGGGAGAGUAGAGAAUUUGCAUCAAUCACUGAAAGAGACAGAGGGGCCCGUGCCUCUUACACCAGUAAAUGGUAUAUAUUACCAAAUGCUGGAGGGCGCGAAAUGUUUCCUAACUGUGUGAUUAGGAAUGUGAUUCCCACCAGCGCAAUUGAUCAGGCCACUAUGCUACUUAGAAUCCUAUUUGGGUUUUGUUGUUGUUAUUAACGAAGCAGGAAUGCAGAGAUUAUAAAUAUGAUUAUUUUACAAAUAAGGAAAUGGUCCUAGGGAGGUCACCAGAGUGGCCAGGCUCAGACUAGAAUGUGUUUGAAAUCAAUUUAUAAAAAAUGAAGUCAUUUUAAAGAUGAAACUGGCAUCUUUGCUUAUUUUCUGAACUGUUCUCCUAAUGAAGAAAACAUAUUGGGUAUUACAGAACAAAGCUCAUCUCUUUAACUGGCCAGGCUGAUCCAAGAAUUGAAUACAUGAACGACAGAAGGGACAUUUUCAUGGGGACUUUUCUCUUUAAGAGGCCCCCACGUAGUUGCCCCACUUCCACAAAUGUUGCAAGCUAAAGAGCCAUACAAAUGUCUUAAGGGAGAAUAGGGGCCUGAUCCGUCUUGUGCCUCUGACUACUCAUUUUCCUUAUUAGUAUAGGUGUGACCUCAGUGUGAAUUUUUGCAGAAAAGUCUGGCAACAUUUCCUGCUGAGCACAAACAACAAAUUACGUGGGGAGGACAUCAGCACGAUAUUCUUCCAAGGACCAUGUUAGUCUUAUUUGGUACUGCCAUUCUCCAAAGGUAUCGUGUUGCAUGGACACAUAUAUUCUUGGGGAGCAUUAAUUAUUUUAAAAACAUGAGUAUAUGCCAGCUGACAUGUCCUGAGAAUAUUAUUGCUAGUUAUCCCCAAACUGCCCUACUUUACUGAUUGUGUGAUGUUUAUGUAUUCAGCAUUGCUAAACAGAGCGGAGGACAGAAAUGGUGGUAGGUGUGGGGGGCUCAGGGCUGGGGACAUGUCAGAUAUAACCAUAUUACUCCCUCGGGCCCUAACCCUAACUUUCCCAGCCUGAUAAGUGGGGACUAAGAGGCAUGUCUGUGAGAAACAACUGUCCUCACACCCUCUUAUUAGUGUAACUCCCUCAAGUCCAUUAUGAAGGAAUUUGUAGAGAAGCAGAGAAGCUGACUGUAAGCUCUGCGGCCCCAGGCAAUUAAUCUCUAGAUGGUGCAGACCCGGGCUCCUGCCCCGUGCCCCCAGGUUGGAAUGUGGGAUUGCCCCUCGACUGCAGGUGUGGGUGGGGAGGGCCGCCCCUCGUCGGGCUUGAGUCUGUGAUGUUGGAGCCGCCCGGCACUAAGAGGAAGCCCAUUCUCCAAGCCCAGGCCAGGCCAGGCCGCACCGGCCCCGCUCCCGCAUUGAUCCUGGCCAAACGAACCCCCCAGCACCUGGGUCUCCCUUGCUGUAAACACUUUUAUUUCACCCCUCGGUUUAUGGCCUCCCCUUCCAAAGGAUCACAACUUGUUUAAACCGGCUCUAAACAAAGGGCUGUCACGAUUACAGACCUGCUGCUGGUUUUAUGGUGGGCUUCCUUUGUCUAAUUCUCUCCCACUCCCUUCCUUCCUCCCCACACCCCACGGCCAGGUACCCAGGCCUUUUAAGAGAGGCCUUCUAGCCAGCUGCUGGGAAGGGAGGGUGAGGGUGCGCUUCCGACUCUCACAUCUGGUACCCCUCAGCUGGGGCUGGUUGCCCCCACAGGAGGGGGGGAUAGGACAGGUAGGAAUCCCAAUGUUCCUGGGGUCAGGCUACAGCACGUCCCCCGCCCCCAGGAACGA
rnacentral:lncRNA from 10 species